rnacentral:rRNA from 1 species
UGGGGAAUAUUGCACAAUGGGCGCAAGCCUGAUGCAGCCAUGCCGCGUGUGUGAAGAAGGCCUUCGGGUUGUAAAGCACUUUCAGCGAGGAGGAAGGUGGUGAGCUUAAUACGCUCAUCAAUUGACGUUACUCGCAGAAGAAGCACCGGCUAACUCCGUGCCAGCAGCCGCGGUAAUACGGAGGGUGCAAGCGUUAAUCGGAAUUACUGGGCGUAAAGCGCACGCAGGCGGUUUGUUAAGUCAGAUGUGAAAUCCCCGGGCUCAACCUGGGAACUGCAUUUGAAACUGGCAAGCUAGAGUCUCGUAGAGGGGGGUAGAAUUCCAGGUGUAGCGGUGAAAUGCGUAGAGAUCUGGAGGAAUACCGGUGGCGAAGGCGGCCCCCUGGACGAAGACUGACGCUCAGGUGCGAAAGCGUGGGGCAGCAAACAGGAUUAGAUACCCUGGUAGUCCACGCUGUAAAACGAUGUCGAUUUGGAGGUUGUGCCCUUGAGGCGUGGCUUCCGGAGCUAACGCGUUAAAUCGACCGCCUGGGGAGUACGGCCGCAAGGUUAAAACUCAAAGGAAUUGAC